CACACAAACACUAGUUUAGGUUUUAUUGUUUGAUUGCCCACUUAAAGAUUCAGUAGGCAGAGUGUUUUGGGCAUCAUUGGGCAAAAAAUCCAUAUCAACCUUUCAGCAUAGUAAUUCAAGUGUUCUGAGAGAAAACUAGACUCCAGCGCCUCCUCAUGGCUCUGUUUUCAGGCUUUAAAAAAUCUAG